rnacentral:rRNA from 1 species
UUUAUGGAGAGUUUGAUCCUGGCUCAGGACGAACGCUGGCGGCGUGCUUAACACAUGCAAGUCGAACGGGAUGAUCUUAAAGCUUGCUUUUAGAGAAUCUAGUGGCAAACGGGUGAGUAACACGUAGACAACCUGCCGACAGGAUGGGGACAACAUUCCGAAAGGAAUGCUAAUACCGAAUGAAGUCAGAGGAGGGCAUCCUCCUCUGAUGAAAGAUGGCCUCUGAAUAUGCUAUCACCUGUUGAUGGGUCUGCGUCUGAUUAGCUAGUUGGAGAGGUAACGGCCCACCAAGGCGAUGAUCAGUAGCCGGUCUGAGAGGAUGAACGGCCACAUUGGGACUGAGACACGGCCCAGACUCCUACGGGAGGCAGCAGUGGGGAAUCUUCCGCAAUGGACGAAAGUCUGACGGAGCAACGCCGCGUGAGUGAAGACGGCCUUCGGGUUGUAAAGCUCUGUUGACGGGGACGAACGUGCCUAGUGCGAAUAGUAUUAGGUAAUGACGGUACCUGUCGAGGAAGCCACGGCUAACUCCGUGCCAGCAGCCGCGGUAAUACGGAGGGUGCGAGCGUUAAUCGGAAUAACUGGGCGUAAAGGGCACGCAGGCGGUGACUUAAGUGAGGUGUGAAAGCCCCGGGCUUAACCUGGGAAUUGCAUUUCAUACUGGGUCGCUAGAGUACUUUAGGGAGGGGUAGAAUUCCACGUGUAGCGGUGAAAUGCGUAGAUAUUAGGAAGAACACCAGUGGCGAAGGCGACUUUCUGGACGAAAACUGACGCUGAGGCGCGAAAGCCAGGGGAGCGAAC